AUUGAAAUGUCAUUAGAGGGCACCGGCAAGUGUCACACCGUCAAACUUCGCAGGCACGCAGUAAUGGCGGCAGGCAGCAGGUGACUCCGUGCCGGAUCCGUUUUCAAACCGGCAAAUCCGCGUUACAGUCACCUCCGUUUCACUGCUCUAAAACGGAUCCAGCCCGGUCCCGGUUUCCGUGGGCGGGAACAACAGUCGCAACGCAGAUUCGGCCCGUAUCCGCGGAAACGAGCGCGCGAAUUUUUUUCUGGAGUUUAGAAGAGGAGGCAGACGCAGACGGUGCUCGGUCGGUAUCCUACUUCAAAAACAUCACCAAAGAGCUGUAAGGAAUAACCAGUCCUCUACCAGUGCAGCAGAUUCUUGCCUUUGACUGUGGCGAUGACCAGAAGGAAUGUGCCAAAGCCAAAGAGGCCUUAACUGAGAUGCCUCAUGGGAAUUAAACGGCACAUAUGAAGUGGUUUGUAAUACCAUGGUUUUCCGACCUGUCCCGAUUGGUUCUUGAUGUGUUUAUGGUUCAUUAUAUGAAAUUAUUUUUUGUAUGUUUAUUUUUUCCCCAUUUCUUCUAUUUUUUUUUUUUUUCUUCUUUACUUAUACAUUAAGAAAGGUCGUGAGAUUGUUUAACUGUUUGUGUAUCAAUGUUUUAAAGUAUAGUUCACCGGAAAAUGAGAAUUUGCUGUUAAUUUACUCACCCUCAAGCCAUCCAUGAUGUAGGUGACAUUUUUUUUCUUCAGUUGAACAGUAAAGAUUUUUAGCGUGGUCCUUGGUGAUUCGUAUAAUGCAAGUCAAUGGCUACCGUCACUUUGAGAGUCAUUAAAACAUAUUACAGGCAAAACAAAGUUAAUACCUGUGACUGAUGCUGACG